GGCCCCGUAGCUCAAUGGUAGAGCAGUUCCCUUUUAAGGAAACGGUUGAAGGUUCGAGCCCUUCCGGGGUCA
rnacentral:tRNA from 4 species